CAGACUUGAGCCUCUCCUGUGCAGAAAAUUAGGACAACAUCUGAGGAGGUCUAGGACAAGGACAACUGUCCACCAGGGACCAAGCUAAGAUUGGAUCUCACUCUGUCACCCAGGCUGAAGUACAGUGGCACCAUUAUAGCUCACUGCAGCCUUGAACUCCUGCGCUUAAGUGAUCCUCCUACCUCAGCCUCCCAAGUAGCUGGGACUAUGGACUAUAGGCACAUGCCACCAUACUUACAUAAAUGUCCAUUGCCUACUUGAUGCCUAUGAACAACAGAAAGAAGAAACAAAGACAUGACCUGUGGUAAGGACAGAACAUCAAGGGAAAUAGAAACAUGUAAUAUGAUAA
rnacentral:lncRNA from 1 species